UAUAUUGCGGGAUGACGUCACCUGAAAAUGACCAAUAGCGCGGCGCGCUGCUGAGCUGUGUGCCAACCGCUCUUUUUUUCAUGCAGGAGACUCAAGUUGGCUUCGCUAACGGACACAGUUUUGAACUCAUAUAUUAGCGCCAUUUAUUGCUGCUUGGACCACAGCAUCUUCGGAAUUUGUAGUCAUCCUGGCAGCUUACAAUUAGUUCGAGGUGAGGUGAGUACAUGCAACUUCAAGUUAUCUCUGUUAUAAAAAUCCACCAGCCCAGCGUUUAUAGAUAAUUUUAGCAGUUCGUUUUUUAUGAGUGAGGUUGUGAAUUUAGUUAGCAUUUGUGAGUUGAGUUAGCAUUACUGUCGCGAGGGAAGCAUUGCUCUGGAUUAGUUUCUGUGUUUGGCGUGCUUAAUUCGCUAGGGAGGAAUUACCAAAGUACAUGGAGUUAUGUUAACCUGUAAUUUCUGUGGUAAGGUAGUUCAGUCAUCAAGGGGCUACGUGCUUCAUUGUAAACUGCAUCGGAAUGAGCCACGUUGUUUCUUUCGGUGUAUUGAAGCAGGCUGCAAGCAGACAUACACCAGACACUGAAUUUGAGCAGAAACCAUAAGGAUAGUCAAAGGACCUGUGACUCUCAGGAAAUGCAUCAAAUGAGAGGGACAGAUGAAACAGUUUCAAGACAAUGGCAGGAAAAACAUGCUGAAGAUUGAAACAAACCUUGGCUGGAAAUAUUUGAAGGUAUCUAGCCAGUCCACAAUGAAAGCUUCGUUGCACCCCAUGAGUCUUCUGGCAGAAAUGAUGGCGCCUGUAUUCUUUGGUUUCCCUAAACAUCACACCCUGCCUGUUUAUACGAGGCUCUUCAAUUAAGUCUGCACCCAAAGAUUCAAUAAGAGAGGGGAUCCUGCCAGUCCAAAGUGAACUCCUGAUGGACAUUGAAGUACUCCUGCAGAGCUUGUAUCUUCGACACCAUGCGCAUUAGAAACUCCACUGAGUCCUUUCCUUCACCAAGGCAGGACCCAGUGACUCAUUACUGUUGAUAGGUCA